AGGUGGAGGCGGGAAUCGAACCCCCAACCCUGGAGGUGUGAGGCAAACGUGCUAACCACUAAGCCACCGUGCAACCCCCCCGGACAUAAUUUCAAAUGAAAACUAAAUGGAGAACAGUGACAAUACUACAAGACAGGACAGAACAUCAUCUCAGUAUUGUUGGCUUAGUCAUAUUCUGCCUAACCUUUUACAGGACGAGUUAAACAUAUUAGCGGCAGAAUAAGCAACGGUUCAGGGACAGCGCGCCGGUCGAUCCAGAAGGACACCCAGGACAGCAUGACCAUCAGAGUAGCAGGAAAGUAGGUCUGCAGCAGGAAGAAGAAAAUGUGACGUCUCAGGGUGAAGUUGAUGUACAGACGGUUGUACCAACCUGGAGAACAGACAGAAAGUCAGUGUAAAUGUAAACUGGAAACGGUUCUGAUUCUUAAUUUGCAUGACAGAACCGGAGACGAGCUGUAGGAAGCGUGUGUGAGCUCGGUUACGACCGUGCCCUGAUUCCUGUGAACACGGAGGCAACUCGGACUCGUGGCAGUGGCAGGAAAACCACACACUGAGCUGUGUGACACACUACUGUACCUGUGCUGCUGUAGAAGGCCAGUUUAGAGGUAGUGUGAAACUCCUGAAUGAGGAACUGAGAGAGUGAGAUCUUGUCAUCUGUCUUCAGAGAGUCGUUCCCUUUCUUCCAGUAGAGCAUCAGGUCAUCGUCCGUGUACGCGUCUGUAAAGGAGCAGGAAUGGUUCAGAACUGAAAAGCACUUUGCCGUCCGGAUACACCCUGAGCAUGACGUUGUCCGUCGUAGUGUCGUGGAUGAAGGAGCGUUUGGAGUGAACGAAGAACAUGUCAGGAACCCAGAUCUUCUUCAGUAACCGGCUGUCGAAAGUCAUGCUCUGGUUGGUCUUGCCUGAGAAGGACAGGCGCUCAUCUUUCCAAUAGUGCCUCAGGCCGCAUUGUGAAAUCGUGGUCAUCUAUACGGAGGACGUGCUCCGAUUUCGGCACCGAGCCCUUGGUGAUGUCGGGGCUCCUUUUCAGGACGAGACUUCAACCAGGAUCAAAGCACAAAUAAGUAGAAAGCAUCACAGCACAAACGGUACAUUAAACUCCUUCUCAUUUAAAACUUUACAAUGCUGUUGAGUUUUUAAAAAAAAAGGUUUCGGCUUCUUUUUUUUAAUCUGGUUUGAAUUGACGAAAGGAAAUUUACACCAUUUGGUAAAGUAACUGCUGUAAAACUAUAAAACAUAAGAGAUCACCUUCCAGAUUUGUGUAAUUGUCCUUCCGGUCUUGUAGCAUCUCUCCGGGAUCUACAACAAAGUAAAAACGACAGUAAUAUUGUCUGGUUUUUCCUUGUUUUGUUUUGGCUACGUAUGUGAAAGACUUUAAAGGCAGGGUCUUCGUUGUUUGAAAGCCAAUGUCGACAUUUGAAAUCACCAAAACAAACACACCCCUAA